rnacentral:lncRNA from 1 species
ACACCGUAAUUGGACAAAAUUAGGAAGUACAUAAUAGGUCCAAUAUACACAAUAUGAUGCAUUGAAACAAAAGUUGGUCACUAUCUUUACAAACAAAACCUCUUAUUUAAAAUGUAAAAGGUACAUAAUGUCUACAAUAAUAUGUAUCCAAAAAUGAGGCUAAUAAAUAAUCACUGUAGAUCCAUGCAGGGCAGACAUAGAAAUAAUUCCAAUCUUGAUUCUAGGGGUGCAUGACACUUCAAUCAUGAUAAUGCAAGGGAAACGGUAAGAGUUCUUCCACUCUUCGGGCUUUGACUCAUUGCUAAGCAAAACAAGCCAAACAAAUCAUUAAGCAUUCUCUCAAAUAAUUUACUUAAUUUGAACUCAAGCCACACAAUCAAAUAACAGUAAGUAUAAAGAUAUCUGAUUGGGCCUAGAACAACAAAGCCUAAAGAAGUGUCAGAUGUUUUAAAUGAGGUCCUUUAAUCUCCAUAUCUUGACUAAUAACCUGCACAUAGAGCAGCAGAAACAUAUUCCAAGGAAAGUGAAGAAAAUUCUCUUAACAAAUUUAGCAAGUCAGCAAAAUGUUGAACACAAAGUCAUAGCUCAGGAAAUCCUCAUCAAUCCAUUUUAGCUGUGAGGAGUAAAGACAAGUUACAUUAAAUAGCUAUCAAUGAUACAGUCAACCAAACACAGUAGCUCUAGUAUGGUAAAAGAAUAUUGAAAUGGUCAAAUAAUAGUGAAUUUCCCAAAGAAUAGGAAACUUAAAUGACCAAUGCCUAUCUUAGGGCCAAGUAACCCAAGGGUCUUUUCUUGAAACUCAAUCUCUAGCUUUUUCUUAACAUUUUAAUCAUUACAGUAAUGACCAUAAUGAUUUCAGUAUCAGUAUUUCAACUUGCACUUCUUUGCACACCUUUCUUCUUUUCUUUUACGUCCCUGCUCAUACUACCAAUGCCUCUCAUCCUUUUUUCAACAAGUUUAUACCCAUAAAUAUUGAAGUUCAAGAAAUGAACCCAAAAGUUAAAGAUGAAAUAUACAAAUUUAUUACCAAGUAAAACUUACUCUAACAACAAAAGUGUAAUCAAUCUAUAAAAUUCAUCAAUGAAAAGAAACUAAUGAUUCGUUAUUCAAAAGCCCACCAAAAGAAGAUGACAUUUUCACACUACAAAAUAGUCUAUCUAGAUUGCCAAAUAAGGAAGCUGACAUGCUAUGGAGUUCCAAAUAUGGAUGUGCAUAAUAUCUGCUCAACCAACUCACCUAGUUUAAGAUAUUCUCACCUAUCAAUUAAAUAGAAACUCAAUUAAUUUGAACUUAUACUAUCAUUAAAACCCAAAAAAGGAAAAACAACAAUAAAAGGUGAACAAACACCUACUUAAAGGCUAUCUUCACCAUUUGUUUAUUCCUGGACCAUAAAUAAAGAUUGCUUCUUCCUGUAGUGGAUACUAGAAAAAGAAGAAAGAAGAAAGAAAAGGCCAGAGAUAAAAAUCUGAUGGGGAAAAAUUUAUCCCUGAGAAAUUUCAAUGGCAAAGUACCUUCGGUUGUGUAGACAAUCAUCUCUCUAGUCUUACUCUCAAACAUAUACUACUUUAGAAAUAUUGACUUGUCCUAAAAGAUGCAGAGACAGAAAUUGCAUGAAGACCAGGUCCCAUAAUCAAUGAAAAAACAAGAAAAGAACAAAAGGAUUCAACUUUUAACCAUUGCAAAAAAUGAUUCCUGAACCAGCUUAGAGGUUUCUUCGGAAAAUCUUUAAACUUCUCUGCAAAAGUGAAAGUGAAAAGUCUUAACCUCGACCCUUUUGUUCCAUAUUAGUUAAUGUUAUUUAUCAUUUAACUUCUGAUUUAACAAAUGCACUUGGUAUAAUUUUGGCAGAUUUCAUUUUGAUAGGUAAAAGGAUUCACUCAAAGCUAGUAUUUAAAAGAAGAAUAUUAAAAUCUAAAAAAAAAAGGCCCAAAGUACCGUGAAAAAAAUAGGAGCAAGAGCUUUACCACAAUUUUUUGCCAUCCUCCACAAACCUCUGUCAUAGAGGGAAAGGUCACAAAUUGAAAAGGGAAACAAACCAAAGCAAAAAACUUGUGGGCUAAAAAGUUUCUUAC